CGGGGUGCAGCAGGCGCGAAAACUUUACAAUGCGGGAAACCGUGAUAAGGGGACACCGAGUGCCAGCAUCAUAUGCUGGCUGUCCAGGUGUGUAAAAUACACCUGUUAGCAAGGGCCGGGCAAGACCGGUGCCAGCCGCCGCGGUAACACCGGCGGCCCGAGUGGUGAUUGUGAUUAUUGGGUCUAAAGGGUCCGUAGCCGGUUUGGUCAGUCCUCCGGGAAAUCUGACGGCUCAACCGUUAGGCUUUCGGGGGAUACUGCCAGGCUUGGAACCGGGAGAGGUAAGAGGUACUACAGGGGUAGGAGUGAAAUCUUGUAAUCCCUGUGAGACUACCUGUGGCGAAGGCGUCUUACCAGAACGGGUUCGACGGUGAGGGACGAAAGCUGGGGGCACGAACCGGAUUAGAUACCCGGGUAGUCCCAGCCGUAAACGAUGCUCGCUAGGUGUCAGGCAUGGCGCGACCGUGUCUGGUGCCGCAGGGAAGCCGUGAAGCGAGCCACCUGGGAAGUACGGCCGCAAGGCUGAAACAGAAAGGAAUCGGCGGGCGAGCACAAGGGCAAUUCGC
rnacentral:rRNA from 1 species